rnacentral:rRNA from 1 species
UACGGAGGGAGCUAGCGUUGUUCGGAAUUACUGGGCGUAAAGCGCGCGUAGGCGGUUUUUUAAGUCAGAGGUGAAAGCCCAGUGCUCAACACUGGAACUGCCUUUGAAACUGGAAAACUUGAAUCUUGGAGAGGUCAGUGGAAUUCCGAGUGUAGAGGUGAAAUUCGUAGAUAUUCGGAAGAACACCAGUGGCGAAGGCGACUGACUGGACAAGUAUUGACGCUGAGGUGCGAAAGCGUGGGGAGCGAACAGG